UUACCUUUCUUGGCUUUUUGGCUAAGAUCAAGUGUAGUAUCCUUUUUUCACAAUUACGCUGCAUAAAUCUGCUUAACCCAAAUCUUGAACGCGAGUUCAAGUUACCGGUGUAUUUAAUAAAUACGCCGGUAAGAUAACUUCAC
rnacentral:snRNA from 2 species